rnacentral:rRNA from 1 species
GACGAACGCUGGCGGCGUGCCUAAUACAUGCAAGUCGAACGCUUCUUUUCCCACCGGAGCUUGCUCCACCGGGAAAAGAGGAGUGGCGAACGGGUGAGUAACACGUGGGUAACCUGCCCAUCAGAAGGGGAUAACACUUGGAAACAGGUGCUAAUACCGUAUAACAAUCGAAACCGCAUGGUUUCGUUUUGAAAGGCGCUUUACGGUGCCGCUGAUGGAUGGACCCGCGGUGCAUUAGCUAGUUGGUGAGGUAACGGCUCACCAAGGCCACGAUGGAUAGCCGACCUGAGAGGGUGAUCGGCCACAUUGGGACUGCGACACGGCCCAAACUCCUACGGGAGGCAGCAGUAGGGAAUCUUCGGCAAUGGACGAAAGUCUGACCGAGCAACGCCGCGUGAGUGAAGAAGGUUUUCGGAUCGUAAAACUCUGUUGUUAGAGAAGAACAAGGGUGAGAGUAACUGUUCACCCCUUGACGGUAUCUAACCAGAAAGCCACGGCUAACUACGUGCCAGCCGCCGCGGUAA